UGAAUGAACUUGCUUCUCCUGAUUCUAUGAUAAUACUAUAUGCAAAUGGAUUUUCUAGAGUUUUUCUUUCUUUUUCUUGCUUUGGGUGUAGUGUGCCAUCGCCCCAGUUCUCUUCCUGUUCUGAUUGUAGUGUGCCAUCGACCUAGUUUUCUUUCUUUUUCUUUCUUUUUCACUAAUCUGGUUUUUGGGGCUUAUAAAAAAAACUAAUCUGGUUUUUGGGAAGGUGAUAAUGUGUUAUAUCAUCUUUGCUUAUCAAAUAAAACUUGCAGUUAGUUGGGGACUUGGAUUGAACAUUCAUGUUAUUUCAUUUUCUUGCUUUUUUGUAAGUUUGUAAUAUCUCAGAUUCUCAUUGGUUCUAAUACAUAAAGUAAAUAUUUAAUAAGCACUAACUUAGUGAGUUUGGUUAAAAGGAAAAAUAGGGAACCAUGCAUAUAGUCUUCAAUGAUGGGAUAAGUUCUCUUUCCUCUAAACUAUGCUUGUGUUUACAGGUUUUUUGGUGGAUGAGAGUAUGAAUGAGUUGCAAACUCUUUUACAUGGUUUUUAAAUUUCUCCCGCAAAUGGUCACUUGUUGAUGCUCUUAAGUCAAAUACUUUGAUCUUUUGCCUAAGAAUAUGGACAUCCGUCAAAUUCGCGGUUGGAUGUAUAAUAGAACCAUAACUAGCCAAAGGGAACAUACAAGUGCAUUUUUGAGGGAGACUCAAAGAAUGGUAAAACAAAUGAUGGAAGAAAUGAUGCAACAACCACCAAUGCCAACCCCAAAUCAAGAGGAGUUAGAAACUGAUGAGUCAGAGAAUGAGGAGGAUCUUGGUGCUUUUCCAUGAAAACUUUGUCAAGCUUUGUUUCUAUAUUUAAUGUAAUAGACUAUGUUUAAUGUAAUAGUAAUCUACUAGACUAGUUUAAGUAGUUCAUGGUAUACUUUUUGUGAUGAUUCAGUGAUGAAUUUAGGUGGAUAUGUUAAGAUUGUGUGUUUUGUGA